rnacentral:rRNA from 1 species
UACGUAGGGCGCAAGCGUUGUCCGGAUUUAUUGGGCGUAAAGAGCGUGUAGGCGGCCAGACAGGUCAGCUGUGAAAACUCGAGGCUCAACCUCGAGACGUCGGUUGAAACCGUCUGGCUAGAGUCCGGAAGAGGAGAGUGGAAUUCCCGGUGUAGCGGUGAAAUGCGCAGAUAUCGGGAAGAACACCCGUGGCGAAGGCGGCUCUCUGGGAC